CGAACGGGUGAGUAACGCGUAGGUAACCUGCCUCUUAGCGGGGGAUAACUAUUGGAAACGAUAGCUAAUACCGCAUAAAAGUCGACAUUGCAUGAUGUUGACUUGAAAGGUGCAAUUGCAUCACUAAGAGAUGGACCUGCGUUGUAUUAGCUAGUUGGUGAGGUAACGGCUCACCAAGGCAACGAUACAUAGCCGACCUGAGAGGGUGAUCGGCCACACUGGGACUGAGACACGGCCCAGACUCCUACGGGAGGCAGCAGUAGGGAAUCUUCGGCAAUGGGGGCAACCCUGACCGAGCAACGCCGCGUGAGUGAAGAAGGUUUUCGGAUCGUAAAGCUCUGUUGUAAGAGAAGAACGAGUGUGAGAGUGGAAAGUUCACACUGUGACGGUAACUUACCAGAAAGGGACGGCUAACUACGUGCCAGCAGCCGCGGUAAUACGUAGGUCCCGAGCGUUAUCCGGAUUUAUUGGGGGUAAAGCGAGCGCAGGCGGUUAGAUAAGUCUGAAGUUAAAGGCUGUGGCUUAACCAUAGUACGCUUUGGAAACUGUUUAACUUGAGUGCAAGAGGGGAGAGUGGAAUUCCAUGUGUAGCGGUGAAAUGCGUAGAUAUAUGGAGGAACACCGGUGGCGAAAGCGGCUCUCUGGCUUGUAACUGACGCUGAGGC
rnacentral:rRNA from 1 species